UACGAAGGGGGCUAGCGUUGCUCGGAAUCACUGGGCGUAAAGCGCACGUAGGCGGAUUGUUAAGUCAGGGGUGAAAUCCUGGAGCUCAACUCCAGAACUGCCUUUGAUACUGAAGAUCUUGAGUUCGGGAGAGGUGAGUGGAACUGCGAGUGUAGAGGUGAAAUUCGUAGAUAUUCGCAAGAACACCAGUGGCGAAGGCGGCUCACUGGCCCGGUACUGACGCUGAGGUGCGAAAGCGUGGGGAGCAACAGG
rnacentral:rRNA from 1 species